rnacentral:rRNA from 1 species
ACCCGCUGAACUUAAGCAUAUCAGUAAGCGGAGGAAAAGAAACUAACUAGGAUUCCCUCAGUAGCGGCGAGCGAAAGGGGAGAAGCCCAGCGCCGAAGCCCGCGGCCUCUGGUCGCCGUGCAAUGUGGCGUUUCGGUGGCGGCUCGCCGCGACUUCUCUGGCACGUGUACCUCUGAAUGGGUCUGCCCGUAGCGGGUGUCAGGCCUCUACUUGCCAAACGAGUCGUCGUGGCCCGCUGUCAUCGCGGAGUCGGGUUGCUUGAGAGUGCAGCCCAAAGUGGGUGGUAAGCUCCAUCUAAGGCUAAAUACCUAGUGCGAGACCGAUAGCAAACAAGUACCGUGAGGGAAAGUUGCAAAGAACUUUGAAAAGAGAGUUCAAGAGUACGUGAAACCGUUCAGAGGCAAACGGACGGAACUGGGCGAGUUUGCCACGGCCAUUCAGCCGUUGCCGUUCGCGGUGAUGGUGCACUUGGUUGUGGUGAAGCGCGACGACCGCCUGUUGGGUUGUCAGAAGCCUGGCGGCAAGGUGACGAAGUGCUUGCGCUUCGCGUUAUAGGCCGCCGCGGCGUUGACUGACCUGGCGGGCGAGGAGCGCCUGCUGUGCACUCCCUUUGGGAGCCGUCCGAUCUGGUGGGCUCGCGGACGCUGGCGACGAACUGCUUGCAGUUCGCUGUUGGUGCUCUGCUUGUCGUGCUGGGCGGUGCGGCGUUGCAUGCAGGGUCCGAGUCGCGUGGUUCCCGGCACUCCGUCCGACCCGUCUUGAAACACGGACCAAGGAGUUGAGCACGCGCGCAAGUCAAUGGGCUCUACGAACCCCAACGGCGUAGCUAAGGCAAAACGGGCGUGAUCCGGCACUCGCGUGUCGGCGCAACGCCGGCCCGCAGCCAACUCGUUGCGAGUAGCUGCGGAGCAAGAGCGCGUGUGCUCAGACCCGAAAGGUGGUGAACUAUGCUUGAGCAGGGCGAAGCCAGAGGAAACUCUGGUGGAGGCUCGCAGCGAUCCUGACGUGCAAAUCGGUCGUCAAACUUGAGCAUAGGGGCGAAAGACUAAUCGAACCGCCUAGUAGCUGGUUCCCUCCGAAGUUUCCCUCAGGAUAGCUGGCACUCGAAAUCAAUGGUUUUAUCCGGUAAAGCGAAUGAUUAGAGGCAUUGGGGGCGAAACGCCCUCAACCUAUUCUCAAACUUUAAAUGGGUAAGAAGCGCGACCCUUCCUAAUCGGGGUCGCGUGCUUGAACAGAGAGUGCCCAGUGGGCCGUUUUUGGUAAGCAGAACUGGCGCUGUGGGAUGAACCAAACGUGCGGUUAGGGUGCCUAACAUACGCUCAUGAGACACCACAAAAGGUGUUGGUUGAUAUAGACAGCAGGACGGUGGCCAUGGAAGUCGGAAUCCGCUAAGGAGUGUGUAACAACUCACCUGCCGAAUCAACUAGCCCUGAAAAUGGAUGGCGCUGGAGCGUGUGACCCAUACCGCACCGUCGGGGCAAUGCGUGCGAAAUGCCAGGCCCCGAUGAGUAGGAGGGCGUGUCGGUGGCGUAGAAGCGUUGUGCGCGAGCACGCGUGGAGCCGCCUUCAGUGCAGAUCUUGGUGGUAGUAGCAAGUAUACAAAUGAGAACUUUGUAGACCGAAGUGGAGAAGGGUUCCAUGUGAACAGCAGUUGGACAUGGGUCAGUCGGCCCUAAGAGAUCGGAAAAUUCCGUUCUGAAUGGGGGGCAUGCCGAUUGCCGAUGGCGUCUGACUUGUCGAUAUUGCGGCGAUGCCGCGUGUUCAGUGCGUCACGGCCGGCUUGCGUUUGAUCUACCCCAUUGUGAUCGAAAGGGAAUCGGGUUAAUAUUCCCGAACCUGGCAACGGAGAUUGGGCCUUCGGGCCCCAGUGCGGUAACGCAACCGAACUCGGAGACGCCAGCGUCGAUCCCGGGAAGAGUUCUCUUUUCUUUGUUAGGAGCGGACUCCCUGGAAUUGGCUUGUCCAGAGAUAGGGACGUUGCAUCCGUAAAGCGUCGCGCCUCACGCGGCGUCCGGUGCAUCGGCGUUGGCCCUUGAAAAUCCGAGGGAGGCAGUGUAAUUUUCGUUCCAGGCCGUACCCGAAUCCGCAGCAGGUCUCCAAGGUGAACAGCCUCUGGUCGAUAGAACAAUGUAGGUAAGGGAAGUCGGCAAAUCCGAUCCGUAACUUCGGGAUAAGGAUUGGCUCUGAGGUGCGGGCUGUUUCGGGUCGCGGCAAGAAGCGGACCGUGCGUUGGUUGGGCUGGGUGCGCCUCGGCGCGUUCGGACCGUCGCCAGCGCGCGUCCGUGGGAGGCCGUGGCUUUCGCCGGCGUGGGCCUUGUGUCUGCGUCGGCUUCGUUCGGCCUAAACGCACAGCACAGAACUGGCACGGACUCUGGGAACACGACUGUCUAAUUAAAACAAAGCAUCGCGAUGGUCGCUGGUCGAUGUUGACGCGAUGUGAUUUCUGCCCAGUGCUUUGAAUGUCAAAGUGAAGAAAUUCAACCAAGCGCAGGUAAACGGCGGGAGUAACUAUGACUCUCUUAAGGUAGCCAAAUGCCUCGUCAUCUAAUUAGUGACGCGCAUGAAUGGAUUAACGAUGUUCCCACUGUCCCUAUCUACUAUCUAGCGAAACCACAGCCAAGGGAACGGGCUUGGCAAAUACAGCGGGGAAAG